rnacentral:misc_RNA from 1 species
AGCUUUCCUGCCAACUUGUCUAGAGAGGCGUACUACCUACAGCUGCAACAAGACCAAUGGACACUACGUGUUGCUCACUAUACUCCAUGGCUAACCUACUGGUGGAACACGCAGAAAUGGUUCCCUGCAUCAGCUGUUGCUGCCAGAAGGCCNGCUGCCAGAAGGCCUGAGGUUUUCUCUCGACAAGAUCUGGAACUUCUUUCCACAGUUGCUGGGAGUCA